rnacentral:rRNA from 1 species
UUUGACCUCAAAUCAGGUAGGACUACCCGCUGAACUUAAGCAUAUCAAUAAGCGGAGAAAAGAAA